UGCUGCCCCCAGGUCGCAGCGGGGUGUGCAGGGGACCAUUGCAGGCUGCAGGGGCACCUGCAUCCUCUAGAACUUCCUGAAGACCAGACGCUCUGAUUUUCCAACCAGCACCAGCCCAGUCAUUUCCCUCUGCCUCCCUGGGGACUGUCCCAGCCGCCAUCCCUUGCUCCUGCCUCCCUGGGGACUAUCCAAGCCACCAUCCCUUGCUCCUGCCUCAUGCGGGUUUCCUCUCUAGCCAGAUCCUCCCCGUCUGUAUCCAAAAAUACUGUUACUUCCCUGUCCUUAAGACAGUGUGUUUGACUGCUUUGCUUGUUUGUUUGCUCCUCUUGAUGGUAAAACUGCUCCAGAGAUGUGGCCCCAUCUGGGGUUGCCCCACUGAAGCCCUCCACAGAGACUUUGUGACACCUGACCACUAACCUCACCUCGCUAAACUGAGGCAGAGCUUGGCAACAGUGGUGACUCAGUGGCUCAGCCCUCCUCUUGAAACACCAUCCUCCCGAGUUCCAGGACCCCUCUGCCAGGCCCCUCCCUCCUUCUCCAUCCCCCACACCUCCCCCCAUCUUCCCGUGGGGGGACCCAGUGCUCGUCUCUAUUCACACUCUACAGACUCCGCGUGACACCAGGCCCCACCUCUGCACCCUCCACCUCAAGGAUGGAUACACCUUCCGGGCUGUACCCGUGAACCCCAGCCUCCAGGUCUACCCAAAACCUGCUCACCAUCACCUUCUCAGCCACCUGGACCUGGGAACAUGGCAGCUGCUGGAGGUCUUAAAGGCGCCCUUUCCCUAAGUUGGAAGCUGCUUCAGAGACAACUGUGAAGACAAAAAAGGUUGCUGUGUGUGGUGGCUAAGACAUCAGCUGCAUCUGAGGGGCUGGAUUCUGCAAGGAAAUAAACUAUGAGGCAAGAGAAAGGCUUUAGAAGAUCCUCCAACUGUUCUCAUCGUUCUGUUAGCUGGUCUCCUGAUGAGGUUCUGGGUGAGUCUCAGGGGCUGAGGAGGUGAGUUCAGGCCCCUAGGAGAAGAAGGAGGGGGGAAACAUUUCCCUUCCCAGUGUGGGCCUUUCUACACCUACCCCUCAUUUACAGCCUGGGAUGAAUCCACCAGGGCGGCUGUUCACACACAACCCUGUCCUGACCCCGUCCCAACCCCGUGCGCACCACCUCCCACCCAGGAGGGUGCCUAGGUCCCCAUGAGUGCAGGGCUGGGUGGGUGAGGGUUUGAGGCAGGCCCUGAGGGCCAGGCCCAGGGAGGCAGGAUACCCACAGAGGUGGAAACCUUAGGCUGACUUUAUCUUGGCUCCAGUGCCGGAGCUGUUGAAAACGUGGCCCCAAAUGUGCACAGAAGUCAGCAGGGUGAAGGGUGAGCUGCCUUGCCUGCUCUGCCAUCAACAUGGAGGCCUGGAAGCUUUUUGCAGCCCUCAGGAGGGGUCCUGGAAAACAGUGCAGACACCCGUCCCGCCGGGCCUGGAAAACAAGCGAGCAAUCAGCUCAGCCUGGCCCUAGAACCACCCACCCAAACUGGCCCCAAGCCACAGCACGGACGAUCUGGUGUGUAGUGCUUAGAUGCCAGCCUCACUCGAAGAUGAGUUGCAACUGGGGCUGCAAUUCCAGGAGGGCACCCACACCUUCACAGCUCAGCCCCAUCUUGGGCUGAGACUAGAGCAACUCAGGCAGGAUGGAGCCAGCCCCACCAGCGGCUGCUUGGUAUCCAGGCCUAAACUGGGCAAAGGGCGGCUGCAGGACCCUGGGCAGGGCCCAGGACGGAUGGGUGGGCAGGAGGGUGGGGGCCCAUCUCUAAGCCGGAAGGAGAAGCUUCCAGACAUGAUUGCAUCUGACCUUCUCCUAGCGUCUCCUCUCUCUGGCUCAGGGCCCACUGUGAGCUCAGCUCCGCACUCCUGGGUUUCAUCCUGGGGAACUUUGUAAAGUAUCCAAUCUACAGAAAAUUGCCAACCUCUGGAAGCCUCAGCAGGACCAAUGUCCUCCAUGCAGAGCCCUUCUUAUCCCCUAGGACCGCAGGCCCAGGCUCCUCUGGGGGUCAGGGCGGGGCACAGCUAGGAGGGAAGGGGAGUUGCUCUGGGUAAGUAAGAUGCUUCUAAGCUUCUAAAUCAGGUUCCAGAGAGACCCCCACCCCUGAUCCCCCACCCCCUGCUGGCCUGGAGCACUGAGGUCUUCCAAACCUUCCAGAACAUUCUCAGCUGAGCACUCCCAGCCCUGGGCAAAUCCCAAGGGAACCUGGAAAAGGAAGCCCCUCCCCUUGCUGGGAUUAUCGUACCCUUAUGCUUAAAGGGCCAGAGGGAGAAGAAUGUUUCUGUGCUUUUUAGAGAAACUCUCUCCACAAAACACUUCCUGAUGCUUGUCUGACACCAAAAAUCUAUUAAAGUCAUAAAGUUCUCCUGCAGAACGCUUCUCAAAAAUGUAUUUAUCUAAAGGGCAUCUGUGUUUGGUCUCCAACGCAAACGCUCCAAAUGUCGGGCCCCGGGUGAUUUAUUUGGGCGCCUUGUUCUCUCCCUGCGAGUUGUUUUCAGCUCAAGCCCCUGGUUGCGUCGCUCCUUCCCCUGAUGUUUAUAGAUGGCUUCCAUCCGCUCAGAGCCAGGCCGGCCAGGAAG
rnacentral:lncRNA from 10 species